ACAGAUGAAUGGAUAAAGAAGAUGUUGCACAUAUAUACAAUGGAAUAUUAUUCAGCCAUAGAAAGAAACGAAAUCGAGUUAUUUGUACUGAGGUGGAUGGACCUAGAGACUGUCAUACAGAGUGAAGUAAGAAAACACACCCAAGUUGCAGUCAGAUUUGAACAGUGAACACUGAAGAACUCGUGACUUCAUAGUAAUGUAAACUGCCCGACAUCUUUUAGGUGCAUAUGCAGUCCCUCUCAGUUGCCCCUGUAGGUGCUGACAAGUAUUGGAGUCUCUUACCAACGCUGGGACUGGGGAAAGCAGAUUCCCAAAGGGCAAGCGUGCAAA